rnacentral:rRNA from 1 species
UGGGGAAUAUUGCACAAUGGGCGCAAGCCUGAUGCAGCCAUGCCGCGUGUAUGACGAAGGCCUUCGGGUUGUAACGUACUUUCAGCGGGGAGGAAGGCGAUAAGGUUAAUAACCUUGUCGAUUGACGUUACCCGCAGAAGAAGCACCGUCUAACUCCGUGCCAGCAGCCGCGGUAAUACGGAGGGUGCAAGCGUUAAUCGGAAUUACUGGGCGUAAAGCGCACGCAGGCGGUCUGUCAAGUCGGAUGUGAAAUCCCCGGGCUCAACCUGGGAACUGCAUUCGAAACUGGCAGGCUAGAGUCUUGUAGAGGGGGGUAGAAUUCCAGGUGUAGCGGUGAAAUGCGUAGAGAUCUGGAGGAAUACCGGUGGCGAAGGCGGCCCCCUGGACAAAGACUGACGCUCAGGUGCGAAAGCGUGGGGAGCAAACA